rnacentral:lncRNA from 1 species
CAGGAGGGGAGAACUCACCCAGACAGACUGUGUGUCAGCUGUGGAUGUUACUCCCUGUCUCAGCCAGAAGAAUUGAUGAAAUUCACACACUCCAAAGACCAGCAAGUGAGAACGGGCUUCUCCUCCAACUGGAUGGCUCCAGUUCUAUACAUGAAACCCUGACCUUUAGAAGCACCACUGACGGCUACUUCAACUUAUACCUCCGUGUUUCCAGUCCAUGAUGAAUUUUUGGGAAAGAGAGCUCUUUUCUCACAGUUGAAAACACUGGCAGCCUGCAGAUGUGGAAGUCUCAGCUGGGAAACAUGAAAUCUUUCGAUAUCCCAAAAGCACACACCUUGGAAGAUAAACUUUACCCAUGACUAACUAAAGUCAUUCUUAAGAGAAAAUUAUGGAGAGGAUUAACAUGCUUCAUCCCUUUCUCUCAGCUUCCUGAUUAGGACCUUCUAGAGUUACAUAAAUCACUUCUUGCUCUAGCCAGCCUGACUCCAAGCAUCAACACACCAUUGUUGCCUGGGCAUUUUUUCAGCCUAGCCAAUAAAAACUCCCAAGUCAUCCUGGAACUUUUGGAGAUGACUGAGAUGCAAGAAAAAAAACACGGUAGACUUUAACAAACUGUACAACUGGGGACAACCAGCGGGAAGGUUUUGGAAGGCUGGGGGUAAAGAGGUGGCCUGACCAUAAUUAAGGGCAAGUCCUGCCAGCAAACCCGUGCCCAUUUUAAGAGAGGGAUGGCGGUUUUCCCAGGCGGAAGCUGGGUGCCAGGGCUCAUUCCAUAGACAAAUGCUGUCCUCUCUCCCCUCCUUAAAAUGAACAUUGUCAGGAACAGGAAGGGCACAGGCGUGGUUCUGGAAAGAUCUCAGUUCCAGUCCCAGCUCAUCGUUUGUGCCUAUUUCCUCAUCUGUCAAAGAAAGAUAUCCCAGGACCCUGCCUGUCGCAAAAGCACCAUGAAGAUAAAGUAAGAUCAUGGACAAAGGACUUUGUAAAGCAAUUUAAAAGUUGUAUGUGUGCUACAUGCCAGGCACUGUGCUAAAGGCCAUACAUGUUUUAACUAAAUUCUUGCGGCAGUCUUCUAAGGGAAGUAUUAUUUCCACUGCGCAAAGGAGAACACCAGGAUUCACUGGCAUUGUUAAUAUUUGCUGGAAGUUUAAAAAACCAAAUAAAUGUCUGAAAAGUAAAUGUUCAAAAUG